CAUCAGUCAGCAUUUAAAGCUUCGGCACUUAAAGAUGGGCGUGCGGCUGAUUAGGUAGUUGGCGGGGUAACGGCCCACCAAGCCGACGAUCAGUAACUGGUGUGAGAGCACGACCAGUCACACGGGCACUGAGACACGGGCCCGACUCCUACGGGAGGCAGCAGUAAGGAAUAUUGGUCAAUGGACGCAAGUCUGAACCAGCCAUGCCGCGUGGAGGAUGAAGGCCCUCUGGGUUGUAAACUUCUUUUAUUGGGGAAGAAAUCGGUGUUUUCUAACGCCGUUGACGGUACCCGAUGAAUAAGCACCGGCUAACUCCGUGCCAGCAGCCGCGGUAAUACGGAGGGUGCAAGCGUUAUCCGGAUUCACUGGGUUUAAAGGGUGCGUAGGUGGGCAGGUAAGUCAGUGGUGAAAUCUCUGGGCUUAACCCAGAAACUGCCGUUGAUACUAUCUGUCUUGAAUGUAGUGGAGGUGAGCGGAAUAUGUCAUGUAGCGGUGAAAUGCUUAGAUAUGACAUAGAACAUCUAUUGCGAAGGCAGCUCGCUACACUAUGAUGAC
rnacentral:rRNA from 1 species